GUUGUUUUAUUGAUUUAUUUGUUGUUUUCAUUGUAUCCAAAGUCAUGAGUUCCGGAUGAACUCUUUUUGGUGCCUUUUAUUGAAAAGGCUAUAGCUUUCUAUUCAUGCUUGGCUCUAGUCUAAUAGAGGAUUAGCAUGCAGCUUGGAUCAGUAAGAUGUGAAGUGUGAACUUGAUCUGUUUUAUUUUAGGGAUCUGAAUUUGUAAUUUUGCAUUUGCAGUCUUCAGGCAGGAUAUCUAUGG
rnacentral:misc_RNA from 1 species